rnacentral:tRNA from 2 species
GCACCCGUAGCUCAAUUGGAUAGAGCGUCUGGCUACGGACCAGAAGGUUGCAGGUUCAAGUCCUACCGGGUGCACCA